UCGGGCAUGGUGUACGGUACACAGCCUCCUCUCCUGUAUCGCCACUAUUCUUGUUGCAAGAGGCAGUUCGGGGUUCGACUCCCCGUGUCCGAA